CACAGGUGAGAUCCAGGAAAAUGUAUUAGGGUGCAUUCCAGGGUGCAGUAGCUAUAGAUAAAUAGGGUGCUGGGGUUGGGGGCAGGAGCUCCAGAUGGGCUGGAGGAGCAUGGGUGGUAAGCUCCAGGGUCCCUGGCACAGGGCUGCACAUGUGCUGGCCACUGUGUUGAUGAGGGGUCUAUGAGUUUUUAACUCAGCCCCCCAUCCCAUGGCUCUCUCUGGUGCAGGAACUACAUGUGGUCGCCUUGCAUUGUACCACAGGCCUGCACUCCACUGCGACAGACUGGACCCAGUGUGGGGCCAAGGACAAAGGCGGCCUUCCGUGAGGUAGUUGGACUUGGGAGCUCUGAGUGGGUGGGAGUGCCUGUCCCACCUAGUCCCAUCCAUGCACCUUCAUGUGAUACAGAGGAGGGAACUGAGGCACAGAAGGC
rnacentral:lncRNA from 10 species